AAAAUAAAAUAAUAAAAUACAGAUUUCCGAGCCCCACUUUUAGCCUCACUGUAGUUCUUAUUCAGUAGAUCAGGGCAGGGCCCUAGAAUAUGGGGAGCCACAUCCCUGCAUAUUCUGAUGCAGGGAAUCAAGGAACCACACUUUGAAAAUAUUUCUUUUUCCUUAGGGCUCUCUGCUAUUUCUGUAAACAGUAGCUAUUGCUUCAGAGUAUCUUAAUUCUUAUAUUAAUUGCAUAAUUGUUGUUUAACCAACUGGUUUUCUGCAUUUCUCAGAAAUUAUGGUCACGACGAAUAUAGCUAUUUAAUUCUGAAAGAUACUUGUAAACCGCCUAUUUCACAAAAUUAAUUUGCUUAUUUUGUUGACAUUUUCACAACUGUAAGUAAUGUGAAUUAAGUAACAACUUUGCUUCAACUGUAGGAGAAUGUCAAAAUACUCCAGGAGAGAAGCAUUGCUUAUAUCAACUCAGAUUCAUCUAUAGAAGGCAAUUAUACUCUCAGAGUUGACUGUACACCCCUUCUUUACCAAUUAGUGUAUAAACUGA